AGUUCGCGGGUAAACCUCAGAAUUUUUGGGAUAUCCCUCCCUCUCUCGUCUUUCUCUGUUAACUCUCUGCUCUACAUCGCACCCUUACAACUGGAAAUCUCAAAUUCCGUUCACGCCGUCGUCGUCUCCAUCACCGACGCAAGCUCAAGUCCAGCGUCGUCAUCCUCUCUCUUCGUUCUCACCUCUUCCCUUUCUCGCUCUGCUUAUCUCGAUACCUCUCCAUCUCCCAGUCCAACUUCCUCGACUAUGGUUUCCAUGGCCAUAGGAGCCACGACGUGACAGGGUUUUCUCGACUCCCGUCGUCAGCCUUCACGCCACCACUGCCAGGUUCCAUCCUCCCUCAUUGAUGGCGAGCGAAGAUGGUGUCGUGGGCUUCUCAUCACGGUUGCAGGAUUUACUUGUUGGAAGAUUGGAGGAUCCGAAUUUUUCCACUCCAACAGUUGUCGCCAUCUGUGGGACCGUCCAAGAAUAGAGAAGAAUUCCUAUACUCCUACUUUUCAGUUUCACGAAUUAAAUGAGAAUCAUUGCAGUGGCAUCUUAUGAUUGCAAUUCUUCCUGCCAUAAUUCUAAAGAAUUGUCACAAUCCUUUGUCUCAUUGGAAUUUCAUUUGGAAAAAAAGCUUUCACAAUUUCAAGUUUUUUUCGGCGUA